UUCACCCAGAACCCGGAAGUUUUGAACGAGGAAGUAAGAAGGUCAACUUCGAAAAGUAAAAAGUUGACAGAUAAAGAAGUUGAUUUAAUUUUCUUUAUCGAUCAAAAUCAUUGCAAAUUAGAAUAGAAAAGAGGGAGUUUGCAUAUUAUUAAGUUAUCAGUGGCAGUCGACUGUUCUGGAGUAUCGCUGACGUUUGGCAGAUUCCCGAGAUGAGCCGCCCCCGGAGAGAACUGCCCCUCCCGGGAGAUGCUGCACCCCAAACUCGUCGGCCAUUACCUGGAACUCCAGGUGAUGAUGCUAGCCGAGGACCUGCUCCUCCCCUCCCAUCAAGAGGGGGCGGGCCAGCCAGUGCCCUCCCCAGAAAAAACCUUCCAACUCCUGAACCCCCUAGUAAGCUGCCUUCACGGAACCCGCUUGAUAGACGAGAUGCACCUGCAGCACACCCUGUCCCUGUACCGCGACACGCCAGUCGCUUACCACCAACUCCACCCAAUAAGCGUCAACCUUCACCUAUACAAAAACAAGAGUCUCUGACGUCAGACGAUGGAGACAUCUACAACGAGGCUGAUGUUGGCGAAGUGUACCAGGACUGUGAUCCUGAGUUUGAACAAGACGAAUAUGAUCAAUUUGAAAUGCAGGAGGAUUCAAACGAGCAAGAGGAGUAUACAGAAUUUGAUGUUGGAGCUGAAGUAGAGGAGGAAGAAUCACAGGAGACCUAUGAUGAAUUUGAAAUCCAAGCUGUUGAGGAACAGGAAACCUAUGAGAUAUCUGAUGAUGUGCACAUGGAGCCAGACGAAGUUUACCAAGAAAUGGAUGGUCCUGAGCCCCCUCCACCACCCCCCUCCAGACCAAUCCCCCCACCUCCCAAAAACCCAUCUCCAACACCCCCUCCCCCACCACCACCACCACAGAGUAAGAGAGUACCAUUGGAGAAGAAGGCGGGACCUCCAAAACCUCAAGUUCAGAAGCAAAAGCCAGGUGGCCUUGACCUCAGUGAAGUUUUGAAGAAACGUAGCAAUCUGAGGAAAGUAGAAUCAACAGAGGAACGGCCAAUCAGUACAAAUGAUGUCAAGGAGUAUGCCACGGGGGAGGACAUGCGCUCUAAACUAGAAAUGUUUAGACAGAAGGAGGAAGCAGAUGAUGAUUCCAGCUCAAAUACAGAUCAAAUGUCUGUUCCUAGUAAUAUCCGUGAUAGGGUGAAAAUGUUACAAGGCAAUUCGCCUCCUUUCUCCCAUCCUCGGAAAGCUCCCCCAUCUUUACCACAAAAAGCUCUGCCUUUCAAUCACCAAAGUCACCCACCACCACCCCCUAGACCAGGUCCAACACCCCCUAAAACAGAUCGUCUGGCAAUACACAAUCGAUUUGGUCAUUCACCGGAGCGUCACAACAAGUCACACAUCAAAUCGGAUUCACAAGAACUACCCCCUCCCCCAAAAAUGGAGGACAUUCAGCCUGCUCCUCCGCCUAAAACAAAGGACUCCUACACAAAGGUAGACCCAACCACAAAAUCCAGUGGCAAUACUGGACAAAACGCCCCCUUAGUUCCCAACGGCAACCAGAAUGACUGGCCGGAUGACUAUGAUGAUGAUGACGAUGGGGAUAUUUAUGACGAUGUUGCUGCGGCAUUGGCUGAUCCUUUGGGAGCCUUUUCCUGGUACCACGGCGAGUUAGAGAGAGAGGAGGGCAACAAAAAACUAAAAAAAAUCGGCAAGGAUGGUUGUUUCCUGAUGAGGAAGUGCAGCAACAAAAAGAAGGCGGAGACACAGCCAUACACACUUAUGGUGUACUACUCCGGUUACAACUACAACCUCAAAGUGCGCUUCCGGUCUGACAAACGUUACGCCCUGGGAGAGGAAAAAGCAGAUGAAGUGACAUUUGAAACAGUGCCAGAACUCAUUAGCCAUCACCAGAGUAAUGAGGUCAUCCUAGUGCACAAAUCAGGAAAGCAGUACAGCACUCUGUUGACAGGGUCCCCUUCCUGACAAUAACAUUGCUGUCCUGAGAUUUCUAAAAGUCUAUAAAAAUAAUUAUUUAAAUUUAAAUAAUUAUUGAUAUAUAUACACAAAGAGCAUUAAUUUUGUAACUCACUUGUCAAUAAAGGCUCAUUUGACCUUCAGGUCUGACCUUGAAAGAGGACACAAAGCCAGAAUGAGAAAGGAUGACAUUUUAAUUACAUGUAUGUAUGCAAUAUUUUUGAUGCACUUACAUGUAUUAUCAAACCUAAGUGAUGGCAUCACUGUAUUUUGCUAAUUGAUAAUGAUGUCAGUGAAACACUUCAGUGUGUAUUUGAUUUCAUUGCAACCUUUCAAUUUAUCAUCAUUUUAAUUAUCAUUUGAUUACAGCAAAACUCUGAAUUUUUCUACUGCUUAAUAGAAUCUGUUGAAAUGAGAUAAAGUAAAUGCAGAUUGCCUUGAAAUAUCAUAAAAGUUUUAUCUGCAAUAGUUAAAAAAAAAAUACACUUAAAAAUAUGCACAGAUAUUUAUAAUACCAGCUAUCCUUCACUGUUUCACCAAUCACUUGUAUAAGUACAAGUAAAGGUCAAGCUUAGAAUCUGCCUUUACUUACCAGCACUCUGAUUCUCAGUCACCGGACUUACGGUCAGUCUACUGAUCUCAGUCACCGGACUAAUGGUCAGUCAGUAUUGGUAGUAAAGAUUGUUAGUUUGUGUAAAUAUUGCUGUCAUGGUCAGACACAUUGUCAUGUUGUAGUAGUGAUAACUGUAUUUAGCAUAAUAUCAUAUCAUGCCGAGGCGUUUAUAUUCAGCAUUUAUUUUAUAUAUAUAUAUUAUAUACACAUGCCAUUUGGAACACUUAAGCAUUCCAUUCUACUUAUUCUUUACUCUACAGCCAAAUGUUAAAUAUGAUGUAUCUAUGCAAAUAAGUAGGCAAAAGUAGGGUUAUGUUUAUCUGAGUAUAAAUAACUAUGUUUAUGCCCAGGAAAGAAUUUUUUUUCUGUACUAUAAUGUAUUGAAACUCAGAUUAAUGAAGAUCAUGAGUUGUGUCCCUUGAGUAGUCUCCCCUGAAUGCUCUUCCCUGAGGUCCUGCAAUCUCCACCCAGAGUUGUCUUUCCUUAAGCUCACUGACAGAGUGUAUGGAAUGAAAACUCUGUGUAAAGGUUGGAGGUCCUGAUCAGAAUGGGUUUCUAAAUAUUUGUAAUAAAUAUCUGGCCAGUUUUAUAGCCGGCUGUGAAGACUCAAGAAGGUGUGCUUCUCUCAGAAAAUCCUACAUCCAUCGAAGACACAUUGAUCAAACCAUUGUUAUAUUUUUUGUCAUUUUACAUUGCUGUUUUAACCCUACUGUGUGUGUUCACGUUGUAGGUAAGUUGAGUAGACAGGUAGAGUACUGAUGGAGAAGUUGUAACUUUGAGGGCCAGCACAAAGUAAUCAGCUUUAUGUAGAGUUACAUCAGCACUCUACAAACAUAUCAAAUAGUCUUUCAUUUAAUUUGUACAGAGUUACACUACCUUGAUAAAAUAUGAAGUUAUAUGUUGUUAAGCCAGAAUGUGUUUACUUACAAAAUGAUAUCUACAAAGUACUUAUCACACUACAGUGGGACGCUACAAAUUGUUACAAAAUAUUACAAAAUUAUUUCUACAAAGUACUUAUCACACUACAGUGGGACGCUACAAAUUGUUACAAAAUAUUUUACCCAAUUACAAAAUGAACUUAAAUUUUACAUUGCAUUUUUGUGCGAAUUUACAAAACAAUCAGUUUACAGUACUCACAAUGUUACAGGAUACAUGUUAACCUUGUCACGUAACAGUGUAUAAUGUUAACAGAUAACUUUGUGUAACACUACAAUAUUUUAACAUUAUUACUUUAAAAUGUAAUUUAUAUGAUAAAUCUGUAUAAUGUCAAUCUACAAUAUUACAAACAAACAAACAAACUACAGAUGUAUUUCUACUUUGUUUAUUAUAUUAGUAUUUCAUUGAAUUAACAGUUUAACAACAUUAUUGAAAAUAGUUUAGAUAAAAUACAAAGAUACAAUGAUGGACCCACAGUUGAACACUACAAAAUUUUCAUAUUUUCACAGGAAAAUCACAUGCAAGUAUGUAAUAAUGAUGAUUGAAUGAAUUGCAUAUUAAGAUUUAUUUGAUACAGUCAGUAUUACACUGGUAACUGUAAUUAUCAGUCAGUAUUACACUGGUAACUAUACUUAUCAGUCAGUAUUACACUGGUACUGUAAUUAUCAGUCAGUAUUACACUGGAACUGUAACUAUCAAUGGUUUCAAUGUCCUAUUUACUCGUUAAACCAUUUGCCAUAUAGUGGUGAAAUGGCUACAAAGACCUUGUGUGUACAUAAAAACUCCCCAUGCUCAAACUGGGUUUCUAUGCUUAAACUCAAUUCCUCAUAUAAGUGAGAAGUACUUUUUGUAAAAUGGUACGUAAUUUUAUAGUCUGUAGGUGUAGAUAUCUUGUAUUUACCACAAUUUUCAUGCUAAAUGUUCACGUUUGUAGUAGUCUCAUGAAUAACAAGAAAAAUGGCUGAGCUCAUAAUCAGGGUUAUGAGUAUAAAAAUACCUUUUGGAAUAUGAGCCCAGUUUUUCAUGAUAUUCUUUGAGAUAUCCUGGAGGUCAUUUAGACUUCUAUAGACUAGCUUGCUGCUAGCGCAUUUCAACAUCUAACUACAUGUUUUAUGUGGGAGUGAAGAUGACACAGUUUAACAUGGUUUAUCUGGUAUAUAGUAUUCCUUUUAUUGUGCCUGUUGGAUGGACAUUUUUGUUGAAAUAGAGAUUAUAUUUUUAUCUGGAAAGGUUUAAAGAGAUUUUUGAGUGUUGAAAUAUAUUAUCAUAAAUUUCAUCUUUUACAUUUAUAUAUACCGUAGCCAAUAUAAUGUAUGGACAAUACCUGGUACAAUCUUCAUAAAGGUAUACAAAUAUUUUCCAUAAACAUUUACAAUCACACUUGUAAAAAUAAGGAUAUUUUCAUUGUUCAAUAUUACAGAUGUCUCUACUUUGGAGGGAAACAUAAUUUUUCGCCUUCAAUUUUGACUUUGUUAUAAGCAGUAAUUGUAUUUCCUAUAUGUACCUUAUUUUUUGCUCAAAUGUCAUUCAUUGUAUAGAACAGCUUAAACAUUAGACCUUAUUAGCAUUAUUUUGUUAAAAAUGUUUUUACCACACUUGGCCUAAAAGGAUAAGUGAGUUUAAUCUGUGGUACAGCAUCUGCCAUAGGUCUUGCAUCAACUUUUUAUUUAAAACAACUUCUUCUAGAGGCCUAGGGUCAUGAUAUUUGGCCAGUAGUAUGCUGGGAUGCAGGGCUAUCAAUAUUGUUCGUAUACAUGUCCUUGACAAGGUCAACAGGGGUCAAACAUGCCAAGAUUUCUAAGGUUAGGAUUUUUGUCCUUUGGCUUAAUGAUAUACAUAAAUGACCUUGACCAUUCUGAAGGUAUCAUUAGUAAAAUAAAAAACCUUUUAACAAAGAUUUAUAAAGAUUUAUAACAUGCAGUGUAUUGUAACUCCUUGAAGGUCAUAGAUGUGAGAUGAGUAACAGGUGAGUGAUACAGGACUAUUGGGCCUCUUGUUAGGUUUUGCCACAUGAUUUCAAUCCUGUGAAAUAUUUUGAAGGUGGGCAAGUACGUUCUGGUACUUGUUGUAUUCUCAAAAGAUAUCUGUGAAACUUCACAAAGGUGUUUAGGGUAUGUGAGAUGGGACUUGUAUUGUUUGCCUUAGUAGGGUGUAUACUGGUUAUUUUAAAGGUGUGAUACAUUCUAUUGUUAUAAGCUAGAGGAGCCCGGUGUUUCAAAUAGAGUUGUAUGAGUUCGAGGCACAUUCAGAAAUUUCAGUUAUAUAUAUUAUUCAUAUCAUCAGAUAUAAAUAUGCUCCUAUAUCGGGUAUUUAGAUCUUCAACAUCAUAAAAACCGAAGAUUUUAAUGAUGAGAUUACCUUGGGCUUAACACAGGUGAACAUUACUAUGGUAGUAUUUAUACUUCAUGGUCGUGUAUUCUCGAUACAACAGCUGUUUAUACUUCUCAGUCCUAUACUCUAAAUACAUCAGCUGUUUAUACUUCUCAGUCUUAUACUCUCAAUACAUCAGCUGUUUAUACUUCUCAGUCGUGUACUCUCAAUACAUCAGCUGUUUAUACUUCCCAGUCGUGUACUCAAUACUUCAGCUGUUUAUACUUCCCAGUCCUAUACUCUCAAUACUUUACUGUUAAUACCUAAUUGAAGAAAUAUAUAUCUCAGAUGUGUCAUAUUAUUUUAUGCUUAUUCAUGCAAAAACAUUCCUUAAAUAUUCAUAAAAUUUCAUUUAUAUGCAUAAAUUUACAUUUAUAAACAUAAAUGCAAAAUAUAAAAUAUGUAUUGGUUCAUAUUUCAUAUCUCAUUUGUAACUUUUUAUUACUAAUAUCUAUUCCAGUUUUCAUUAAUCGUUUUUGGACAUUGAUGUUAAAAUUUUACGUGGCCUACAUAAUCUAUAUGUUGAUGUUAUAUUUUACUGUAAUUUUAGCGCCUCUGUCAUGUCGUCUAUUUACCAAUGUGUAUCACUGAAGCACGCUUCAGCAUAAUUAAGUCUUUGUUUUUUACCGUUGGUGCCAUUGAGUUAGUUAAGGGUGUAUGCUAUCUUACACAGUUUAUCAAGGAUUUAUGUACCAUCCCUAACACAAGUGUCUUAGAAUGGAACUCUUUUGUAAUCAUGAUAUGUGUCAAAGUAAAGUAGCUUAUGUACCUUACUAAAAUGUUGAAAUUGUAUCUUUGGGGUUUUUUUCCUCAGAUUUACAAUAUGUCAGGGGCCACCACAUAGAAUAUUUGGAGGUAAAGUUUGUUGUUCGUUAAUACUGACAGACACCAGUGUGUGCCUUCUCUACUGUCUAUAACAGUGUUAAUUAUUAUAUGCUAUGUCCCUUAGCUGCCUUGAUAUACUGACAUCUUUUAUUUACCCAUAAUGUUUGAAAGGUCAGACCAGGAAUUUAUGAAAUACAGGCUGUAUAAUUGAGUACAUGUAUGCUAGAUUACAGGUAUCCUGUCACUUUUACCUGUACCUCAUAUAUUGCCUACCUGUUCAUGACAUAAUAUCAAGAGCUUUUAUCAUAAUGGCAACUUUUAUUUAUUUGUCGAUUUUGAGAAAUGACUUUUGUGUACUCAAAAUGGCUGAUUGUGAUUAGAUGUGAUCAUGUAACCGAUUAUGAUCAGCUGCACUUUGUCAUGUGACUAAUGAUCAUCAGAUCGGGUCAUGUGACUGACUAUGAUUAGAUAUGGUCAUUUGACUGAUUAUGAUCAGCUGUUGUCAUGUGACUUAUGAUCAUCAGAUGAGGGUCGUGUGACUGAUUCAAUCAGUUGUGGUCAGUCAAGUGAUGGUAACCAGUUGUGGUCAGUGAUUGAUCAGCUGUUUGUAACUGUAGGUGUGAUAGGGAAGGGGUUUUGUACAAGUUGACAAAUAAAAUCAAUUCAUUUAU
rnacentral:misc_RNA from 1 species